rnacentral:rRNA from 1 species
CCUACGGGGCGCAGCAGUGGGGAAUAUUGGACAAUGGGGGGAACCCUGAUCCAGCGACGCCGCGUGAGUGAAGAAGUAUUUCGGUAUGUAAAGCUCUAUCAGCAGGGAAGAAAGAAAUGACGGUACAUGACUAAGAAGCCCCGGCUAACUACGGGCCAGCAGCCGCGGUAAUACGUAGGGGGCAAGCGUGAGACGGAUUUACUGGGUGUAAAGGGAGCGUAGACGGCGAUGCAAGUCUGAAGUGAAAGGCGGGGGCCUAACCCCUGGACUGCUUUGGAAACUGUUUGGCUGGAGUGCAGGAGAGGUAAGUGGAAUUCCUAGUGUAGCGGUGAAAUGCGUAGAUAUUAGGAGGAACACCAGUGGCGAAGGCGGCUUACUGGACUGUAACUGACGUUGAGGCUCGAAAGCGUGGGUAGCAAACAGGAUUAGAUACCCCUGUAGUC